UUGUACACACUAAAGGUGUUUUAUCACUGAGCCACCCCGUGUGUGGCUCAGUGAUAAAAUUACACUGUGAUCAAUUACACUGUAUCAAUUACUCAGUGAUCAAUUACACUGUAUUUCCCGUGUGUCAGCUGGCUCAAAGUCGAGAGUCUGAGAAGGACACCAUGUCCACCAGAACCAAGAGUGUGGCUGUGUGGUCCGACCACAGAGGACUGAAAACUGCAGCAGCAGAUCCAAAAUAGACAGAAGGAUUGCAAAACAGUAACUCAAACACGAGCCCGUGAAAGGAGAUGCGGCCAUCACAUUCGAGCCCAGGAACAGAUGGAGUUUCGGCCUUUGCAAAGAUGACACAGUACCCUGCCUUUCGUAGGAACACCAGGGCUAUCAUGUCCCAUGUCCCUGCUGCCCCUCAUCCUGGUUCACGGCACAGCUUCCGCUCCAUUUUUAUCCAGCCGCAGAUAAUGGAAGAGAGAUGAGACUUCUGGCCUGGGGGGCUGGACAGUGUCCACUAGUGAUGGCGUGGCAGGGUUUGGGCACGUGUGUACACAAGGCAUCAUUAAAUUCUUGACAGUUCAAAAGUACCAGUAGAGAUUUCAUCCUUCAGUUGACCAGAGUGAUAUUUCUUCAGUUUGGGUCUGUCUGUUUUUAUUAAAUGCCGAAGGCAUUUUAUCUUUGGCCAAACUCUGAGCCCCAGAUCACUGCACCCUGCAACAAGGGGAGUUGCUCAGCCCAUGGAUGAGAAGAGCUGAAACACAGAAGGAAAAGGAGACGCCAUCUGGACCCCUGAGCCCGGUGGUCUCUGGCGCAACUUCCAGCUUUCCCCACUAUGGCUUGUAUGUGGACUCGCUCUACCUGCGGAUUUAUGGUGUCUCCAGAACAGGGCAAACUCGUGCUCUGGGAUUCCCACAAGCAGAAGCCCUACCAAGCUUCGCUGAAUUAGACGAACCCGCGCUAGCCAACAGUGAUGGUCCGUGCCAAUGAAAUGGCCACUUCAGCCAGAGAUUUCCAGAUGACUGCAGACAGCACCACCAUGAGAACAGACUGGUGACUCAGCCAAGCCUGGAUCCCGUCCUAGCUGCUGCCAAGCCAUCUUAAACCAUUGGACGCCAGCUUCCUCCUCUAAAAUGCUCUGGUGACAACAGGACCCUUGCGUCACAGUGGUCAGAAGGGUGAACAAGUCAACACUGGAAAAUACACAUGACAGUCCAGGCAAUGGAAAUGCCUCCAAACGACCAAGUGUUUAAAAACCCAAAGGGCCUAGAUCCACUGAAAGGUGGUUUUAUUAUUUCCUUUUUUCUUCCAUUGAUCUCUUACAAAUCAAAAUCCAAUUUCAUAAGUGUUUUCUCGUUUCAGCGGAGGACUCCAUUGUCUACUUCCCAGGACAAGAGGGCAGUCUGUGCUCCGUUAGGAGGUGGACAGCUAAGGAUGAGUGAGCCCUGCAAUCAAAGGCCUGGAAAACCCAUGAUUUACCACGGAAACCGUGACAGACCUUCUUGUUGACACCCAGCCCACCCAACCUCCCCCUCUCUCCGUUAGGCCCCCCGAGCCCCUCAGAGUGGAAGCACAGAGGCCAGGUGCUGCUGGAAGCCCACUCUAUGGUUUGACUUCACCUUCCUCCCACUUGUCUGAGUGGGCUGUGCCACAAUUACUCAAGGGCCGUGGAGGGCAGGGGAACUACAGGCCUUGGCACCUUCUGACUGUCCCCUGAGUCCCCGGUGAACAUUAUACCCGAGGCUAAGAUAUUCCAGGCAAUGAAGCUCACUUCUCAUCUGAGCACGGGAAUUGUUUCUGAGAGCAAAAGACCCUGAAGCAGGCCCAUUGUCCCCAGCAGCCACUUCCUUUAAGAAGCUGCUCUCUGUCCUGUCUUAAAGAGGUUCACCGUGCUCUAGUAGCUGUGGACCCAAGGAAGCCUUUUUUUAAAAACCAAAGAAAGGUUUGAAAUUUUUAAUAAACUUUAUUUUUAAAACUUACCAAUAAAUUUAAAAAAAUUACACACCAAAGGUAGCCAGACCCAGUCUACAUAAACCAGUGAACUUCUAUAAAAUUAGAAUAGGCAUUUAGAAUGGAAUCUACAUUGCUUCAUUUUAAAUUUUACACUUUCAG